GUAAGGAAUAUUGGUCAAUGGAGGCAACUCUGAACCAGCCAUGCCGCGUGCAGGAAGACUGCCCUAUGGGUUGUAAACUGCUUUUAUUCGGGAAUAAACCUUAUUACGUGUAAUAAGCUGAAUGUACCGAAGGAAUAAGGAUCGGCUAACUCCGUGCCAGCAGCCGCGGUAAUACGGAGGAUCCAAGCGUUAUCCGGAUUUAUUGGGUUUAAAGGGUGCGUAGGCGGCCUGUUAAGUCAGGGGUGAAAGACGGUAGCUCAACUAUCGCAGUGCCCUUGAUACUGAUGGGCUUGAAUGGACUAGAGGUAGGCGGAAUGAGACAAGUAGCGGUGAAAUGCAUAGAUAUGUCUCAGAACACCGAUUGCGAAGGCAGCUUACUAUGGUCUUAUUGACGCUGAGGCACGAAAGCGUGGGGAUCAAACAGGAUUAGAUACCCUAGUAGUCC
rnacentral:rRNA from 1 species